rnacentral:lncRNA from 1 species
UAUACUCUCAUAAAUUAACCAUGAUCACAGAUUAAAUAUUCUGGUUCAUACAACAAACGUGGAUAUGUUCUCACUCUUAAUUCUCUAAUAUUUUUCAAAUUACAGUAAACUUUUACCUUUUUUAAAAAAAAAUCUUUUUUAAAAAUUGUAUUGUGUGGGAAAUUUUUCUAAACAUUUUUAAACUUCUGUGCUUUUAGUGCCAAAGGAAAGUUCUUAUCACUUUAAGAUGCAAUGUGGUUUAGUGGAUGAAGCACUUGGAGUCAAAAAUUCUAGUUCUUGUCUCCACCACUUUUUCUUGUGUCUUUAAUAAUGAUACAAGAAUAUCAUUAAUAAUUACUUCAGAAUCACAAAAUAUUUGCUAAUGCAUUUUAAACUGCUUGGGGAAAAGUUGUGUUUUCCCAUCUUCUUGACCCUGGUACAUCCUUUCUCAAGCUAAGGGCCAUGGGCUUGUGUAUCAAACUUGCUAUGUCUGUAUCCCAUUUAUGCUCAGAAGAAGACAAUUUUGAAAUAGAAAUAAUCAUAGGCCAUUUAUGAAAAUGUAUUAUGCUGUAAAUAAUAUUUUGUGCAUUUUUAAUCCUCAAAAGGAUCUAUCCAAUGAAAAUACACUGAAGCUCCACUCUGUAUGUCUCAGUAGCAAAUCCUGUGUUAGUGUUUGUAAAAGUAGCUCAGUACUUUUUAAGUGUUAGUGGGUAAGCAUAAAUUACAUAUGCCAGGCAGUAAGGUUUAUUAAUAUCUAUAGACUUUGUGGGACAAAAUAUAGCUUUUCUUAUAAGCAAAAGCAACUAUAGACUAGAAUAGCACAUGGUGAAAUCUGUAAAUAUGUAUUACAAGCAGCAUUUCAGGAAAAUAGUUGGAAAGUAAUUUUUAAGUCAAAAAGGGAUACCAAAAUGUGAUUAUUAAACUGUUUUCUCAGCCUUUGAUUCUAAAUUAAACUGCAAUAGCAAUUCAAUGCUUGAAUGUAAGAAUGUUAGGUUAGUGAAAGUUUAGAGUUUAUUUUGUGCAGGUUACCCUAAUGGCAAUGCAGCUCUUCAAGUCAUUUCUGGUCAUUCAAGAUGUUCGCCCUUUAGCCCACAGAGAAUGCCCUACCUCACUGCUCCCUGACAUUAUUGUCUUAGCUGAGUCUUUACUAAGUCAUUGUUCAGUUCCAUUAUUUCUAAUGGUAUAUCAAAUACAAAGUUUUAAAUUUCCUUGGGUUUCUUUUUUUGCCAUAAUAAAAACUGAAAUACAUUUUUCUAGAUAGAUUGCAAACUAAUCGAGUGUUUAUGUCUUUAACCUAGAAAGGUACAAGUCUGAGGAUGCCCAGAAGGAAGCAACUGCCUAAAUAUGGCUUUCCUGGUGCGUGGCUCUCCCUGGCACCAUGAUGCCCGGAAGGCCAGCCCUGAAAGCACUGGUGGCCCGAGCCUCCUGACAAGGGUGCCUCAAGGCUUUCCAUGUGCCCCUCUCAGGGUGAGAGGAGCCAGACCCCUGGAGCAGGCUACUGAGUGACUGUUGAUGCCAAUCCUGUUUCCUGUUUCUCAGUAGACAGCCCGAUCUGGGGUCUAAAGCACACACACGUUGAUUUGCACCUCUGUUUAUGCAUGAGGGUUAAGUUAAUAAUCAUAAUAGCCUUUAUUUAAAAUUCAAAGGUAUAUUUAGGAUCCUCAAAGCAUUUUAGCUUUGCUUCUUAAAACCAAUUUAUGAAACAAGAAUUUAGCUAUGUUAUUAAAGGGCUGGGGAAGCCAGGUCAUAAUAGUAAAGGUUAUAUUAGAGAAAAACUGCAAUUAAAUAUGUUUUUAAUUUUUUUAAAAAAAUGGUGUUUAAGGUGACCUAAAAAUUAAUUUUCUAUGUAAAAUGUGUCUGCAUUUUUUUCAUCAAAAAUAAAGGUUGUUUGGAACAGAAAAAAAAUUUAACCAUUCUUUGGCUUUAUUUUAAAAUACAUAUAUUAAACAUAAACAAUGUAACACUGUCAUAAUAAAACUCUUUAGCAAUAAAUGCA